CGAUCUGUAGCCCAAUGGCAGAGCAUCGGCCCGAUAAGCCGACGACGAUGGUCCGAUUCCAUCCAGGUCGA
rnacentral:tRNA from 1 species